CCCCCCUCAAAAUUUUCUUUAUAACCCUUACUAUGUACAAAUUUUCAUAAAGACCCCCCUAAAAAUAAAAUAAACUACAAAAAGACCCUCCUGAAUUUUUCUCAUCCUAUCUUCAUGGCCUUUGGAUCUUUAAAGACUCUUACACACCAUUGGAUUUGCCUACCAAAAUAAGGUUAUUAUCAAGAACAAGGUUAUUGCAAUCAAAAACAAUUCUUCUCUCUUGCACGUAAAUCCUCCUCUCCGUUCUGACUUCUACGAUGAGCGUUCGCCCACUCUUCCAAAUCGACAUGAUCGGCACGCCGUCAAUCUCUAGUUCUCUUCUUCCAUGCUUCGUCUACCUCAUCUAGUCUUCUUCCGUUCUUCGUCUACCUGGUGGCUGGUUCUAUUUUUCUCACAAUCUCACUGUAAGUUGAGCUGAGCACUUGAGCCUCUGCCUCUAGGUCAUCGACUCAUGUUCGUGAAUCGCAAAGGGGCAAAAAUCUGAAAAUCAUGAUUUGAGUCUUUGACUAUUUCAAUUUGAGUCUAAUUAUCAAUAUAUAUUUGGGCAAUUGGCCAAUUGAAUUCAUUGAUACAAGCAACUAAGCAAGGAGACAAUAAUUGUAAUUUGAGUCUUUGACUAUUUCAAUCUAAUUAGUCUGAUUAUCAUUAUAUAUAUGGGCAAUUGACCAAUUGAAUUCAUUGAUACAAGCAACUAACUAGCAAGGAGCCAAUAACAGAUUGAAUUGAUCUGUUAGUCUCUAUCAAUGGAUAAAUUUGUCACCAAAGUUAAGCGUACAACAGUGGAGUCAUCUUCACCCAUGACAUCAAAGAAAGGUCGUGUGGAGAUCAAUUAUGAAAAUCUUCCUACAGACCCGAGGUUACGAUGUUCAAUAUGGGAUUAUGGCCCUAAUGAUAUAGAUCGCGUUAGGCGUUCAUACUUACAGAAGGGUCCUUGUCAACCCAUUUGCCAUGAAUUUCCACAAACCCUUAUGAUGGAUGAAUUUCCACAAACCCGCAUGGGAGAUGAUUGGCUCAAUGCUUGUUUGAUUUCAUACAUUGAGAAAGAUGUCCUUAAUGAAAUUGAAAAUGAAGCUAUCAUGCAACGUUUUCAAUCUAUGAAAUCUCGUAGGGAGCAAUUGUAAAUGAACUUUCACAGGUAAUUUGUAAUCCAUAACUGAAUUUUUUUUAUAGCUUAUUGUCUUGUGAGUUGUGACCCCCCUCACAUUU